GUUUAAAGGGACACACCAGAGGCGGCAACAAAACAGUGAUCAGCUGAGCAACGAUGUAGUUGGGUGUACUUCUCGCUCUUGCUCUGCUGAAGCUUAAAUUGAAGUAUCUAGGAUUUAGAUUGGUUUGCACAUAUGCAAAACCCAGUGGAAGUCGUCCAAACACAGCCAACAUGCAGCUUCUCCUCACUUAACAACUGAAUUCCAUUCCUAAGACCACGUCAGUAAACAAAUUCACUGCUAAGUGAGGAGCAUACUAUAAUGGUGAUGCUGUAGACUCCUCUGUAGGGUGCGGAGGUCCUUGUGAUGUCUCAGAUGGUUUUGGCACUGGUUUUACGAA